rnacentral:rRNA from 1 species
GACGAACGCUGGCGGCGUGCUUAACACAUGCAAGUCGAACGGAAAGGCCCUGCUUUUGUGGGGUGCUCGAGUGGCGAACGGGUGAGUAACACGUGAGUAACCUGCCCUUGACUUUGGGAUAACUUCAGGAAACUGGGGCGAAUACCGGAUAGGAGCUCCUGCUGCAUGGUGGGGGUUGGAAAGUUUCGGCGGUUGGGGAUGGACUCGCGGCUUAUCAGCUUGUUGGUGGGGUAGUGGCUUACCAAGUCUUUGACGGGUAGCCGGCCUGGGAGGGUUACCGGCCACAAUGGGCCUGCGAUACGCCCCAGACUCCUACGGGAGGCAGCAGUGGGGAAUAUUGCGCAAUGGGCGGAAGCCUGAUGCAGCAACGCCGCGUGCGGGAUGACGGCCUUCGGGUUGUAAACCGCUUUCGCCUGUGACGAAGCGUGAGUGACGGUAAUGGGUAAAGAAGCACCGGCUAACUACGUG